rnacentral:tRNA from 1 species
AAACUAAUAAGUUAAGUUAAACUGUGGGGUUCAUGUCUCCAUUAUACAUAUCAUUAUGUUUAGUUGA